rnacentral:rRNA from 1 species
UACGAAGGGGGCUAGCGUUGUUCGGAAUCAUUGGGCGUAAAGCGCGCGUAGGCGGCCCCGUAAGUCCGCUGUGAAAGUCAAAGGCUCAACCUUUGAAAGCCGGUGGAUACUGUGGGGCUAGAGUACGGAAGAGGCGAGUGGAAUUCCUGGUGUAGCGGUGGAAUGCGCAGAUAUCAGGAGGAACACCAAUAGCGAAGGCAGCUCGCUGGGACGUUACUGACGCUGAGGCGCGAAAGCGUGGGGAGCGAACAGG